UGGAGAAGUAUAGGAGACU
rnacentral:snRNA from 1 species